UACGAAGGGGGCUAGCGUUGUUCGGAUUUACUGGGCGUAAAGCGCACGUAGGCGGAUUGGUAAGUUAGGGGUGAAAUCCCAGGGCUCAACCCUGGAACUGCCUUUAAUACUGCUAAUCUAGAGUCCGGAAGAGGUAAGUGAAUUCCUAGUGUAGAGGUGGAAUUCGUAGAUAUUAGGAAGAACACCAGUGGCGAAGGCGG
rnacentral:rRNA from 1 species